rnacentral:rRNA from 1 species
AGCGAACGCUGGCGGCAGGCCUAACACAUGCAAGUCGAACGAACUCUUCGGAGUUAGUGGCGGACGGGUGAGUAACACGUGGGAACGUGCCUUUUGGUUCGGAAUAACUCAGGGAAGCUUGUGCUAAUACCGAAUGUGCCCUUCGGGGGAAAGAUUUAUCGCCAUUAGAGCGGCCCGCGUCUGAUUAGCUAGUUGGUGAGGUAACGGCUCACCAAGGCGACGAUCAGUAGCUGGUCUGAGAGGAUGACCAGCCACACUGGGACUGAGACACGGCCCAGACUCCUACGGGAGGCAGCAGUGGGGAAUCUUGCGCAAUGGGCGAAAGCCUGACGCAGCCACGCCGCGUGAAUGAUGAAGGUCUUAGGAUUGUAAAAUUCUUUCACCGGGGACGAUAAUGACGGUACCCGGAGAAGAAGCCCCGGCUAACUUCGUG